ACCGUCCAAAGAUUUGAUAUUUGCUAACCAUUUACUCAACAAAUAUUUAUUCAAACAUUUAAUAGGUUCUACUCUUUUGUAUUUAUUAGAAUAUUCUAUUAGCUGUUAUAAAUAGACCCUAAAAUGUAUAUUAGCUCAAACACAAUACAUGUUUACGUGUACAUUUUGUUCAUAUAACAAUCCAAGGAAUGUGUGUUUGAUCACUGUGGUAGUUUCCCUCCUAAUCUAUAAAUGAUAGAAGCCUGGUGCAUGAAAAUCAUCCACUCUGGAGUGGGGGAGGGUGGUCCUUCAGCCCGGCCUGUGCCCUCUCGCAGUCAGGGAGCCCUCUGGGGAUGUCCAACUGAAGGCUUAGGCCUGCACCCCAUGGACGUUCGUAGUGCUGCCACUGAAGUGGGAGAGCCUCCCACCACCACCACUGCACUUGCCAGCCAUGAGCCUGGCUCAGGGCUUCUGGCUAAGUGGCGUUCCCCCUGUGGGAGCGCAUUGACUACCAGGGGGCAGUUCCUGCUUUGAGUGUCUACCCCCUGGUGGUCAGUGCUCGUCAGAGUGAUUGGUCGUUCUCCCAUUAGGUCGAUUUGCAUAUUACCCUUUAAUUAUAUAGAAUUGGAGGGGUAUGCUUGGGAGGUUUUAAUGAGGCAGCCUAGAUUUGGGAUAAUUACAUAUACUUUUGCAGAAAUUUAGUCACAUGGCUACACUAAUUGUAAGGGAGGUUAAGAAUGUUAUCUCGCUAAAUACUCUAGGAGAAAAGUAAACUAAUUUUGGUGACUAGUUAACAGUCUCAGCUACCUGUCUAGCCAUCACUGUUCUGAUUCCUUCAAUGAAAUGGCUUCAGCUUGGUUUGACAUGAGUUCUUAGUCUGUGUCAGAUUUUGUACUAUUUGUUGGUAUAAAUGAGGGAAAUAGACAAAGUACCUUUCUUCCAGCUGAGUGCUGUCUGAUAGAAUAACAAAGGAAAUGUAGGACCAUUUUCUCCCAGAAAGCUUUUUUCUUAGAGAAUAGGACAUACAGGAGUAAGUCUUGUUAUUUAGUGCUAUAAAUGAAAGCUGUUCACAGUAAGUGACCUGAGAAGGAAUUUAACAAUUGCUAUAACGUUUUCAUCAAUCUCCUUGUUGCUUAAGUUUUCUCAUCUGUGUAAUUGUAGGGUAUGGCUGGCACCUACCCUAGAACUGAUAUUAGGGUAAAGUGAGAUAUUAUUACAUAGAAAACACUUAGCGUUAACCUUUUGAAUGGUGGUGAUUAUUAUAUACAUGACCUCAGUGAUUUUCAGCCAGUAUGCUGCAGCACCCUAAUGUGCCACAAGAAUUAUAAAUCAUGUAAUACCUGACUAUUCAGUCCAAUGCACUGACCUCUUUUCCCUUAGAUUGUCCAAUAGCCAUCUGGUGUGAAUGCCCUGUCUUAAACCAUAACUAUAUAGGUUAUAUAAUAUAACUGCAUUUUAUUGGUUACGUUGUAUAAUAAAGUUGCAUCCGAUUGGUUAAUGCUUGGUACCAGAAAUUCUUACAUACAAGUAUAGGUACCUGAUUUUUUAAAAAAAGUCACUUGGAGCAAAAAAGGUAGGUAAUUACCAUUAAUAUUUUUUAUGUAAAUCAAAGUUAUACUUUUUUAUUAUAUUGGCAAAAAGUCUCCAGAAUUUUAGUAAUAAGUUCAUAUGAUUCAUGAAGUGAAAAAGGUUGAAAAAUCAUACAUUAUCUCAUUUGAUCAUCACUAUUCCUUACAUAAUAUCUUAGCCCUAUUUUAAAAAGCAGAUUUAUGUUUAGAGAAGUAAUUCAUUUACUCAGCUUCACACCCACCAGUAAGGAAAUGCCAGGAUUAGGAUUUGUACCUGGGUUCUGUCUGACUUUCUAGGGUCAGUCUUCUCUUGUACGUUGUGCUGCCUGGUAAAGACUGCAGCAGUGUGGUGCUGGGCCUGCGGGGAAACAAAGAGUGGCCAAGGCUUGGUUUGACGGGGAAGAUGAAGACCAUUCCCGGUGGAGGGGAAGCAUGAACAGGUGCUUCAAGUUGAGACUGGACAGGGAUAAUAAUACAAGCUUGGCUAUUAUGUGUUAAGAACUAUUAGUAAUAGCAGUGCCAGCCUGAGGACAUUGACUUUAUUUGUAGGAAUUUUUAGAAACAUUUUUGGGCAGAGGAGUGGCAAGUGGAGUGGCUAUUUUGGGAAGACCGAUUUGGCAGGGGUAUGUAGAAUGGAUUGGAGUUGGGAACUGGUGUUAUUAGCCCAGUGCACUGGCAGUGGUCCAGUUGUGAGGUGGUAAAAUCCUGGAAGGAAUAUUGUGAAGAGGAAGGGAAAUGAGCCAGAAGCCACUUAGGAGGAGCUGAAGAAGUUGUUUAGAGUAUAGCAUUUGAUAUAGAUCAAUAAGCAUUUAUUAGCAGGCCACAUAGUUCUUUUUAUUUAAGUUGUGAAUUAUGCUUGAAAUAAAAGCUAGGAGCAGAAAACUAGUAGCUGACUCCAUUCCUUACUGAUAAGCCCUGUAAUCAAGUGGUGUGCAUUCUCUUAGGACAGAAGUAGCUAUUCUGGGGCGUAUGUGUGUGAAUAAAAAAUAUCUGUGCAGGGAGGGAAUGAAAAUGUGCCCUUACAGAGGUGACAAACUCAGAUUUAGGUAUGGGUGAUACAAAGAGAGACUGUUGGAAGGAGACAGAAUUUGUGGGAGAGGAGAUAUUUGUCAGUGAUGUUGGGGUCAGCAAAAUACGGUGCCAUUGGUAUACAAGAGAUGCCACUUGAAGUUUUUUAAAACCAUCUAGUUAGAAAUAAAUAAAUAAAAUUCUGAGGAAAGAAGCAAGGGUGAGCUAGAUCUACUUCAUUUCAUACAUUUGAUAUGUUUAUGAAACGUCACUGUAAAUCUGGUUUAUGUAAAUCAGAAUCUGUUGAGCUCACUGUAGGGAAGUUUUAGAGAAAAUUGCUGAGAGAGUCCUUGUGGAGCGGAGGCCUUUGGGAAUGAAAUGAUCUCUGCUUCGGUUUGUAACUCCAUAUGCCUGACCUCAUGAUGGUCCUGAAAAAUACUCUUAUGUUAGUAAAUUUGGACCAAAAGUUAAACAGUAUUUGGAAGGAGAAAUGGAAUUUCUGAUUUCAAAUAAAAAGGAAUAGUGUCAUCAGCAUUAAAAAAAAAAAAAAAAUAGGUUAGUGUGCAGAAGCUUUUUCCCCUUUGAAGAUAAGAAAAAGAAGACAACUGAAAAAUCAUGCAGUGUUUCUAUGAGCUGUGCCCCCUCCCAUCCUACAUCCACACACACCUCUGUUAUACCUGGA